AAUAUACUCCCUCUGUCCGGAAGUACUUGUCCGAGGAAUGGAUGUAUCUAGAUGUAUUUAGUUCUAGAUACAUCCAUUUCUAUCCAUUUUUGCGACAAGUAAUUCCG
rnacentral:pre_miRNA from 1 species